rnacentral:lncRNA from 1 species
UCUGUUUGCAUUUGUCAAUAUAUUGAUGAUUCACAUGUGCAAUCAAUAUUAUGACAUCAUUGCCACUUUAUAAAUAAGGUGUAUUUCAAGUCCUUGAAUUGUACACUCUCCAGGGUACUCCAGUUGAAUUAAAGUACAGCUGAAUGUUUACAACUGACUGGCUGUUAGCUUCAGUUCAGCAGGUCAAGGUGCAUGGAGAUGUGGAGCUCCCUAUCAUAUUAGUACUCUGUUUCCUCAGGUACAAGGCCAAGUGAUGUUUCAUGAAGAGAAGAGCAGUCUAGCGUGAAGAACAAUUUGUCUGAAUAUAUCCUUCACAUUAUCUAAAACCUUGCCAGCAGUAUUUAUAUAUGCAGCACACACCAGCUUUCUGUUAGUGUACUUUUUACUCUGGGAAAAAAAAAAAAAAAGUUAAAAAAAAAAAAAGUUUGUAUUGGUUUUGUUUUGUUUUUAAUGACAAUAAAGUAACCCUAUGCUAAACUCUGAAUAACCUC